rnacentral:rRNA from 1 species
GUAGGGUGCGAGCGUUAAUCGGAAUUACUGGGCGUAAAGCGUGCGCAGGCGGUUUUAUAAGCCAGUUGUGAAAUCCCCGGGCUCAACCUGGGAAUGGCAUUUGGGACUGUAAGGCUAGAGUAUGGCAGAGGAGACUAGAAUUCCUGGUGUAGCAGUGAAAUGCGUAGAUAUCAGGAGGAAUACCGAUGGCGAAGGCAGGUCUCUGGGUCAAUACUGACGCUCAUGCACGAAAGCGUGGGGAGCAAACAGGAUUAGAUACCCUGGUAGUCCACGCCCUAAACGAUGACAACUGGUUGUUGGGGGAUUUAUUCUCUUAGUAACGAAGCUAACGCGUGAAGUUGACCGCCUGGGGAGUACGGUCGCAAGAUUA